rnacentral:rRNA from 1 species
GAUGAACGCUGACAGCAUGCUUAACACAUGCAAGUCAACUGUGGUGGACGGGUGAGUACCGCGUAAAGAACUUGCCUCACAGCUAGGGACAACACUUGGAAACGAAUGCUAAUCCCCGAUUCUGUGAGAGAGCUUUGCGUCCAUUUAGCUAGUUGGAGAGGUAACGGCUCACCAAGGCGAUGAUGGGUAGCCGGCCUGAGAGGGUGAUCGGCCACAAGGGAACGGGGGACCGGACCUUACACCUACGGGAGGCAGCGGUGGGGAAUGUGGGAAAAUGGACCAAAGUCUGAUCCAGAAAUUCUGUGUGCACGGUAAAGUUUUCGGAAUGUAAAGUGCUUUCAGUUGGGAAGCGGUACCGACAGAAGAAGUAACGGCUAAAUACGUGCCAGCAGCCGCGGUAAUAC